rnacentral:sRNA from 1 species
CCCAUGUACAUUGAUGUCACUCUUUAGACAGAACUUGCAGAACAAGAACAACAGAUAGGGAAUUCAAAUCAAAAUCUCCCAUUGUCUGUUGAAUGAGUUGCAAGAUAUGGAACUCUUAAUUCAAAAAAUACAGCCACUUCAAAUUCAAAUUAGUGGACACAUGGAAGCACUUAGGUCUACAAUUGCAAUAGGGCCAUUAAAGAACAAUCACUGGAUUCAAACUACAGGGACAUUACAGUUCAACUAUAAUCAGUAAUGAAACAACAUUAUCAGAAAGUGACAACCAUGCCUCCAGUCUCUCCUUCAAUGAACCAAAAGAUUAUCUCUUGGAGUAAAAUCCCAAUUAACAUUAUUACCACACAACAAGGAUCUGAAAUUCUCAGUCUGAACAUUGCAUUUACUGACAACAACCACAACACCAAUCUCAAAUGAGAAGGAGAUGGAUUUCAUACUGUAAUUUCAGCUCUAUUUAUCAACUCAAAAUUUUUUGUAUACUUCUGAAAAUUAAUUAUUCCCAAUAGUUAUGUAAAAUUCUGAGGAAAAAAAAUGUUUUCGAAGUAUACACUCUCCUUCCUUUUUAUAUAUGGUUAUAACAAAUAUCAUUCCAAUUUUUAGAAAAAAACGUUUGUUUUUUUUUUAAUUUUUAUCGUAAAGGAUUUAAACAAAAAUAUAUUCAAAAUGUGAAAGAACAUUUAAGCUUUUGUUGUGCAGCAAUAUUGCUUGUUGUGUGUACAUGUAUAUUAUAUGAAUUUUGCAAACAUUUUCCAUUUGUUACAAAUUAAGACAUGGUUAAACCUUAUCUGCAAUUUUUUGAUACAAUUGUUUGUCCAUUAUUGUUAUCGAUGAACAAUUUUGUGACAUGAUUACUAUUAAAGAAGUAUUGUUAUGGUUAUUAACAUCUUGCAGAUUGGAUUGUGCUUGUAUUUAAUUCAUACCUGAUGUACAUGUGUUGGUUUUUAGUUUGUUUUGUUUUUUAUCUUAUUACAUGUUGAAACCAAUCUCCAGCACCAUUAAAUUUCAUAUUUAAUUUUCUAGGCCAGCAAACAGAUUUUUGUAAUAUUUAUCACACUUAACUACAUUUUUUUAUUGAAGAAAAUAUGUUUUCCUUCAUCCUAAAGACCCUCUACUUUUUUUUCAUUUCUUUUUUCAGUGUCAAAUAAUGUUUUACAUAACCAUUGUAAGCAUUUCUAACUUUGUAUUCAUUGUGAAAUUCUUUGCAAUAAAACUUGUUAAAUCU